rnacentral:tRNA from 1 species
GGGCGCAUAGCUCAGUGGGAGAGCACCUGCCUUACAAGCAGGGGGUCGCAGGUUCGAACCCUGCUGCGCCCA